UCUCCAAGUCUUAUAAGGGAUAAUAUAUAAGUUUGCAUUUUAUUUUCCCUCAUUUCUUCCUCUCUUGUGACCGAAAUAGUGAGGGAAAGAGAGAGAAAAUAGAUCUCAUUUUCAUCUUCAUUCUUCCUUGAGUUCAAAGAGCUUCCAUAGCCAAUUUUUCAUCAAGAUCAUCACCUAUUCGGUGAACGUGAAUAGGAUGGAAGAAUAGACACCCUG